rnacentral:rRNA from 1 species
ACGAACGCUGGCGGCGUGCUUAACACAUGCAAGUCGAACGGAAAGGCCCUGCUUUUGUGGGGUGCUCGAGUGGCGAACGGGUGAGUAACACGUGAGUAACCUGCCCUUGACUUUGGGAUAACUUCAGGAAACUGGGGCUAAUACCGGAUAGGAGCUCCUGCUGCAUGGUGGGGGUUGGAAAGUUUCGGCGGUUGGGGAUGGACUCGCGGCUUAUCAGCUUGUUGGUGGGGUAGUGGCUUACCAAGGCUUUGACGGGUAGCCGGCCUGAGAGGGUGACCGGCCACAUUGGGACUGAGAUACGGCCCAGACUCCUACGGGAGGCAGCAGUGGGGAAUAUUGCACAAUGGGCGGAAGCCUGAUGCAGCAACGCCGCGUGCGGGAUGACGGCCUUCGGGUUGUAAACCGCUUUCGCAUGUGACGAAGCGUGAGUGACGGUAAUGGGUAAAGAAGCACCGGCUAACUACGUG